rnacentral:rRNA from 1 species
UACGGAGGGGGGUUAGCGUUGUUCGGAAUGACUGGGCGUAAAGCGCACGUAGGCGGACUUCUAAGUCAGGGGUGAAAUCCCAGGGCUCAACCCUGGAACUGCCCUUGAUACUGGAAGUCUCGAGUCCGGGAGAGGUGAGUGGAACUCCGAGUGUAGAGGUGAAAUUCGUAGAUAUUCGGAAGAACACCAGUGGCGAAGGCGGCUCACUGGCCCGGUACUGACGCUGAGGUGCGAAAGCGUGGGGAGCAAACAGG